rnacentral:rRNA from 1 species
UUAGUUACCAGCACGUUAUGGUGGGCACUCUAAGGAGACUGCCGGUGACAACCGGAGGAAGGUGGGGAUGACGUCAAGUCAUCAUGGCCCUUACGGCCUGGGCUACACACGUGCUACAAUGGUCGGUACAAAGGGUUGCCAAGCCGCGAGGUGGAGCUAAUCCCAUAAAAACCGAUCGUAGUCCGGAUCGCAGUCUGCAACUCGACUGCGUGAAGUCGGAAUCGCUAGUAAUCGUGAAUCAGAGUGUCACGGUGAAUACGUUCCCGGGCCUU